GAUAUAUAUAAGGUUUUAAAAUACUUUAUCAUACAUUUGGAUAUUUUCUUAGUACUUGGACUUAUAUAUUGAUGUAAUUGCCUCAAAAAGAGAAAAUAUUAUAUGUAUGAACUUAGUAUUUUUAUAUCUUAGAAUUGAUUGAGUAUUUAGUGGCAGCUAAAAGCCCAAUGAUUUCUUCAGGUAAAUUUUCUCUAUCUCGAUAUAAUUGUC
rnacentral:lncRNA from 1 species